rnacentral:rRNA from 1 species
UACGUAGGGGGCUAGCGUUGUCCGGAUUUAUUGGGCGUAAAGAGCGUGUAGGCGGCCAGAUAGGUCUGCUGUGAAAACUCGAGGCUCAACCUCGAGACGUCGGUUGAAACCGUCUGGCUAGAGUCCGGAAGAGGAGAGUGGAAUUCCCGGUGUAGCGGUGAAAUGCGCAGAUAUCGGGAAGAACACCCGUGGCGAAGGCGGCUACUCGUCGGGACCGGUACUGACGCUGAGACGCGGAAAGCGUGG